AAUUUCUUCAGUUGCAUGAGUUUGAUGAUUGGCUAUCUUUGGCAUGUGCAUGCAAUGUGUCCCCUUCAAAUCCUGUUACAGUACUGGCACAUUCCAUGUCUGACA